ACCCAGACCGCCAGCUAAGGUCCCAAAGUCAUGGUUAAGUGGGAAACGAUGUGGGAAGGCCCAGACAGCCAGGAUGUUGGCUUAGAAGCAGCCAUCAUUUAAAGAAAGCGUAAUAGCUCACUGGUCGAGUCGGCCUGCGCGGAAGAUGUAACGGGGCUAAACCAUGCACCGAAGCUGCGGCAGCGACGCUUAUGCGUUGUUGGGUAGGGGAGCGUUCUGUAAGCCUGUGAAGGUGUGCUGUGAGGCAUGCUGGAGGUAUCAGAAGUGCGAAUGCUGACAUAAGUAACGAUAAAGCGGGUGAAAAGCCCGCUCGCCGGAAGACCAAGGGUUCCUGUCCAACGUUAAUCGGGGCAGGGUGAGUCGACCCCUAAGGCGAGGCCGAAAGGCGUAGUCGAUGGGAAACAGGUUAAUAUUCCUGUACUUGGUGUUACUGCGAAGGGGGGACGGAGAAGGCUAUGUUGGCCGGGCGACGGUUGUCCCGGUUUAAGCGUGUAGGCUGGUUUUCCAGGCAAAUCCG
rnacentral:rRNA from 1 species